rnacentral:lncRNA from 1 species
UGGUUGGGAAUCUUAUAAAAAUAAAGUAGUUGUUAAAAACAGAAAAUUUUUAGUUAAUGUUGUAGUUUUAAAAAAAAUUUAACUAUGUGGGUAGUUUUUUUUUUUUAAGAGAUAAAUAGCACGCUAUCCGCUUCGUUUAUUUCAUUUAGAAAUAAACUUAGCUGAAAAUGUAAAUCAAUUAGGAUUCGAACUUCGGUUUAGCUGAAAAUGUGAAUUAACUAGGAUUCGAUUUUGUGUCUCUGCCCUUUGCCACUUGUUUUAGGGACAGUCGGUAACUAUGCGGAUAGUUUGUUUGGCUUUUGUAGAAAUACAAAAUAAUAUAAAACGGCCUUAAUAUUGCUGUAUUAUUUUGGGAAAAAAAAUAAAAGAGGAUAAAUUUGAAUUUACCCUUUGAAUUUAGUUAAUUUUUUACUUUAUCAUCUUGUGAUUCAAAAUACACUUUUGCCAUUAUGUGAUUCAAAAAAUUAUAUUGAGUCAUUAUGUGGUUAUUAAAAAAUUUUAUUUUACUAGCCUAUUUGAUGGUCUAUUUUUUAGAUACAAAUAAAAAUAAAAUCACAUAAUAGUUAAGUAUAAUUUUUAAAUUAUAA